ensembl:lncRNA
GCAGGCAGGUGAAUGAGAAAACCUGGUCUGCCUCUGGUUUGAGAAACUGAAGAGACAUUGCCAGCCCUCUCCCACCAACUCUCUGCAGCAAGCCUUUGUGCGCCAGAGACAUGCCGAGUAUUUAGUGCAAAAAUCCAGGUGGGACAUCAUCCUCAACAAACUGAGGAUGUUGUCCCCUGUAGAUAUAUCUGAAUUACAUGCCCACGUUCGCACCCUACUCUUGUCUGUGGAGGAAGAUGCUGCAGCGUUAAUAAUGGCUUUGAACGACCAGCAGCAAGGCCCAGGAGAGACCCAGACUUUGCAGAGUUGGAGAACCAGGAUGAUAACGAACCAGAUGACGAUGAAGUAAACAUGUACAUUUCACAGAGGCAUGCCAUGGAUGACGACAGGGAGCUAAUGAAAUGGUGGAGAGUCAAUGGAUUGGUGUACCCAAAACUGGCCAGGCUGGCAAGGUCCGUCCUCUGCAUUCCAGCGAGCAGCAGCGAGCGGGUGUUCAGCGCAGCUGGCCGAACGAUAGAGCAGAGAAGGACCGCUCUGAAACCAGCAACUGUGGACGAUCAAUCUUGUUCUUGCAUGACAACAUGAAGAACCAUUUCAUCUACAGGGCUCAGGCAGGAGGCUACCAUCAGAACUGACGGCUCAUCAACCUGGACUGUUUGAACCGGCCCAGUUUAAUAAGACGCUUUAAAUUAGUCUAAACCAACAUUAGUUUGUCAAUUUUGUAUGUUCAUCUUCUGGUAUUGGAGUGUUAUUAUUGUAGCCCACCCUGCAUCAUUAGCCUAUCCCCUUGAUCCCUCGACGUGAGUCCCCGUUUUUGCCUUUGCCUUUGUAAAAUAUCAAAAUAUGCCCAUUUGUUGUGUUCAAAUUAUUCUAUUUACAUGAAAGUUUUUUAAUUUAUAGGCCUUUAAGGCUAGACCAUCCAAAGUUAAUUCUUGUUAGGGGUCCAAGCCAACAGGUUGGAACCCUAUUGUUUUUUAAACGAUUUUUAUUAUUAUUUUUAUUCUUCCCCCCCGUACUUGUGGUGGGACCACAGCCCAAACCGUAGAUGCUGCGGCCACGCCAAUUGCAUGACUAGAUCCAGGUCCGGCACCGCUACUCAGAUAACAAAAUCCAGACACGCCGGUCACUAGGUGGCGCUAUACCAAGGGAAAACGCGUUUGGGGCUAUAACUCCCAUACCGAACCUCCCACAGUCAAAAACUUGUACCCACAUAUUCACUGGAGUCUGCUGCAUCUUUUGGCAUAAGCCACGCCCAUUUGCGUCUAUAAUUUUUUUUAUCCGACCUUCGACGACAAAACGGUAGUGUUUUGAAUAUUGGUUUAUGAGCUAAAUUAGACGUGGAAAAUCAAAAAUCUAAAAAAAAUCCAAAUUUAGACAUCGGAUUGAGUCCAAAUUUUACACACAUGUUGGCGCUAACCUUAAUGUCGUUCGAGAAAAAAUUCGGAAAAUUAACGAGGAAAUUGUAUAUCUUAUACAAAAUUUCGCCAUUAGGGGCCGCCAUAAACGAGGAUAUUGUUCAUCUUCUAACUGGCCAAAGCAAUGUUCUGAAAACGCGUUUGGGGAUAUAACUCCCACACCGAACCGCCCACAGUCAAAACCUUCAUAUCCACAGGUUCACGUAGCGUUUUGAACACAUGCUUCGCAUUGUGCCGGCGAAAUGCACAUUUCUUGGACCCCUGCAUAACUGCUUGCAGUUCUAGUUUAUUUUUAUUAUUCUAUCACGGCAAAAGUAGUUUGCAGUGUUCUAGACCUAUUAUCUGUCAUUGUCCAAUCAGAAUCGUCAGAUUCAAGUCGCGUUUCAAAUGGUCCCGCCUCUAUGGGCGAAUUCAUCGACGUGGAAAGUCACCCAAGCCUUCUCCGUUGACUCUAACUGUGUGUUCACACCAAACGCAAAUUUUCUGCCCGUUUGCGUUGUCGCCAAAGUUUUGUCGCGCCA